UACGUAGGGUGCGAGCGUUGUCCGGAAUUAUUGGGCGUAAAGAGCUUGUAGGCGGUUUGUCGCGUCUGCCGUGAAAAUUCGAGGCUCAACCUCGAACUUGCGGUGGGUACGGGCAGACUAGAGUGUGGUAGGGGAGACUGGAAUUCCCGGUGGUAGCGGUGAAAUGCGCAGAUAUCGGGAGAACACCGGUGGCGAAGGCG
rnacentral:rRNA from 1 species